UGGGGAAUAUUGCACAAUGGGGGGAACCCUGAUGCAGCCAUGCCGCGUGAAUGAAGAAGGCCUUCGGGUUGUAAAGUUCUUUCGGUGACGAGGAAGGUUGAUAGGUUAAUAGCCUAUCAAAUUGACGUUAAUCACAGAAGAAGCACCGGCUAACUCCGUGCCAGCAGCCGCGGUAAUACGGGGGGUGCGAGCGUUAAUCGGAAUAACUGGGCGUAAAGGGCACGCAGGCGGUGACUUAAGUGAGAUGUGAAAGCCCCGAGCUUAACUUGGGAAUUGCAUUUCAUACUGGGUCGCUAGAGUACUUUAGGGAGGGGUAGAAUUCCACGUGUAGCGGUGAAAUGCGUAGAGAUGUGGAGGAAUACCGAAGGCGAAGGCAGCCCCUUGGGAAUGUACUGACGCUCAUGUGCGAAAGCGUGGGGAGCAAACAGGAUUAGAUACCCUGGUAGUCCACGCUGUAAACGAUGUCGAUUUGGGGAUUGGGCUUUGAGCUUGGUGCCCGUAGCUAACGUGAUAAAUCGACCGCCUGGGGAGCACUUAAGCAAGGUUA
rnacentral:rRNA from 1 species